UAUUCAACUAUAAAAACACUA
rnacentral:tRNA from 1 species